AGGAGAUAUGAAAGAUCUUGUAGACUUAAUCAUGAAACUUCUUGCAAAAUUGUUUAAAUACUUAAACAUGUGAAUGAGUCGUCUGCAUCUAUUUUUUAACUAAACAGAUGGAGUUAAGAAGUCGACAGACACCCUGUAUUCCAAAUUUACUGCUUCUUGAAUGAGAUUGUACCAUUUAAUUUUUAAAAACAAUAAAUAUUGAAAUUUAUUGGUGUA